GCACCCUAGAUCACGCUCUGCCCACCCCGCCCCGCCCACCAUUCUGUAGUUCCAAGUCCGCCUUCUCCUGAUUUUUUUAAGUGCCUGUUCAUUCAUUCAUUCCGCCAGCACACAGUUAUUAAGGGUUUACUCCGAUCCCAUUGCUGGGUAUGGGCUCCAUGUAUACCCACGACUGUUCUGGGUUCCCAUCAUGGUGUGGAUAUCUCACCAGGUGCGCCUGCACUGGGCAUUGCGUGGGAACUGUGUACUUGCGUCACAGGCAUAUAACCUGUCUCUGUACCUGUUUCUGUGAUUACCUGCGUCUGCGUGUCCCUGUGACAUGGUGUGUAUCCAGAACUGUGUGUCCCCGUGCGUGCUCUCAGGGGAGUGGGACCAUCUUUAUCUUUGCCGCAGCCGCUGCGCCACGUUCUACGCGCGGACACGAGGGGGCGCUGCGGCCUCGCUGUCAUCCUGGCCCCGGGACUCCGGGGACCGCCAGGUGAUCGAUCUAGCGACCCGCCGCGUGUCACAACGUGGGAGAGGGUCCUAGUCUCGCCCCGCUCCUCCACCUGAGCGCCGGAGGGGGGUUUGGCGGGGAAGGAGGGAGCUAAAAUAGCCGUGGACGGAGGCGAGGCUGCUAUUCGCCGCCAGGACGUGCGGUGCUCGCCGCCUGCCGGGCGGGACCGGAUUAGGCUGAGAGGACCCCGCCGGUGUAUUCACAAAUCGCUGGUCGCCAGGGGGGCCGCCGAGGGAGGGGCGCUCGCCUCCUGGAUCCCCACAACCUUACCCUAGCCCUCCCUACAACGGCGUGGCCGUGGAGACGGGGGUGUGGCCGCCUCGCUCCCGCACCGCCCUCCGCGCAGGGCGGGGCCCGCCGGACGCCGAGUCCUCCCCAGAUCCGGGCUUAUGACCGGGCCGGAGGCGGUAAUAAGGGUCUGGGCCCGAGAUGGGCGUGGCGAGGAUGAAAGUCGCGUGUGUGGGGGGGGGGUGGGGCGAGAUAAUUACCGCCCCCUCCUGGCAGGUCCGGCGGGGGCCGGUUCUGUGCACCUGGCGGCUUCCGAGCUGGGGCGCGGAAGUGGGACGGUCCUCGCAGAGACUACAACCUACCCGCCUGGUCCAAAUCCGCAGGGCCCAGAGCCAGGGUGGCGGAAGCAGAAACUGGACGUGUGCACGCGUUGCCAGGAAACUCACGCAAGGUGCCAGGACACCUCACGGCCCGACCCCACCCCCAGGGCAGGUAAUGCUUUCUUGGGGGGGGCCCUGGAGAGGGCAGCGGAGUGGGAGGGGCCGGUUCCUGCCUGGGGCCUCCACCCUCAGACCCGCGGAGGCACAGACAUUAUUUAAAAAUCGUUAAAAAAACAAAAGAGAACACACAUUUAAAUAGGUAUCCAAGACAGUUCUUCAAAAACAAACCCGCCCCUUUUUUCUUUUUUUCUUUUUUUGAAAAUGAAAACAAAUCCUGGAACCCCUAAUCCUGACCCCUCCCUGCCCACCCCCCACAAAAAAAUUUACAGCGCUACAGUUAACAAUGAUGUUCACAUCUGAAACCAUUAACUUUAAACACAUAAUGGGGAGAGAGGUGAGGACCUGGGGUUCACCUACAAGUAGGACAGAGGGGGACAGGCAGGGAGUGGGGUGUCGCGCAGGACAGACAGGUGGGGCCAGGACGAGACAGGUGUGUGGGGAAGGCCCAAACAUCUCCAAUUAUCAGUAAAAAAAAAAAAAA